rnacentral:lncRNA from 1 species
GUAAAAUGGUUUGGUUUUUCUUCUGGUUUUGAUCGGUUCAGUUUUUUUGGGGCUGAACUUUUCUUAGUUUGGUUUGGUUUUGGGUACGUAGAAAAACUAAUUCGGGUACAGUUUGUUAUGGGCUUAAUAAGUUUGGUCUAACACGGGUGUAAACUAUAGGUCCAACCGGUUCCUCGCCCUGGAGCAAGCCCAAUCACGCAUUCCCUCUCUCCCUCGGUCCCUCCAUCCUCCAGGCCUCCGCCGCCGCCGGCCGCCAAGGCACUAACCACCUCCUUGGAGGCAGAGCCUCGGAGCCAGCGCCGCCUUGCCGACGCAAGCGGCCCGUCACCACGCACGGGGCGCUCUUCCUCGCGCUCUCCCUUGCGGGCCUGGCCGGUUCCCUCGACUGCACAUCCUGUCUCCUCACCAACCACGAUGCCGGCCACCUGCUCCGUCGUCUCCGGCAGAGGUUACUCCACCUAGCUGCAGCACUCGUGCGCUUGGCGGCUAGGGUUCGUCUCCAGCCCCUCCCUCCCCCAUCAACGAGAGGAGCAUCCGGUGCCUCCGCCCUCGAGUUCGUCGACGGCGCCGUCCUCCAGCAGCAGCCGCCGCAGGUACAGAGCCAUCAAUCCAUCUUCCCCCUCGCCCCCAUUUUUUUCCUCGAUCCAACCCAUCGAUCCAUUAGACACUGUAUAUUUUUGGCGCUGGUAGAAAUCAGACCCGCAAAGAAUUACCUCCGGUAGUAGCAGUUGUUGUGGUGUUCGGGGUAUGUGCAGUAGUAGAAACAAGUGACCCAUCUAUGCAAAUAAUCUUCAGACUAAAAGUAAAUGUAUAUGAGCAUUGGAUGAUACAAUGUCUGAAUCUUGCAUGAUACAGUGUCUGAAUCUUGCAUGGAAAGAUGCAGCAGUACUGCCCCCUUUUUUUGAACCAUGUUAAUUGUGGCUAUAUGCAUCUAUGAUGCAGAUGUUCAGGGGUAAUAAAACUUCCAUUUUUCUAACAGUUUUUAAAAUUUGUUUAGGCCUCUUAUUAGGGGAAACCUGUUUGAUUAAAAUUAUUAACAACAGUUUUUGAAAUUGGCUAGAGAUGACUUGCCAUAUUGUGAAUGAGAACUGGGUGUCAAUGUAAAGAUAUAUCAUGGUUACAAGUUCUAAUUUUUUUUGUCUUUUCAGAUCAAGGUACAGACUACUACCGCCAUGAGAACUCGGUGACAUCCAUCAUCGGUAGAUGGCGUAACACAAUCCCGGCUUGGAAUCAAUUAUCACCCUUAAUUCAGCUCCGUUUGUUAUUACCUCUGGACUUCAAGUGUUGCUUGUGCAGAAUAUGUAAGCUGUCAAGUGUAAUAUUUGUGCUUCAGAAUCUGUGUUUUGUACUAGUACAUGUUAUGAAGCUGUGAAGUGUUCAUCAAUUUAAGUAUUGGUAGUGCAGAAUAUGUAAGUUGUUAUUAAGCUGGUGCUAUGUUUUUAGCUGUCCAAGUGCAGGAUCGUUCUUGUAUUGAGCUGUACAUGUAUGGGCGGGGAACUGAUAUAGAACCAUAGGCUAAAACCAUAGUUCCUAGAAUGGGUUAGUUUGGUUUUGAGGAAUUUGUCAUGUGGUUUAGUUUGGGUUGGGUGCCAAUGCCAAUUAAGUGGUGUUAGUUUGGUUCAGUUUCCAAAACGUCAUCACGUGGGUUUGGUUCAGGUUUGGUUUGGUUACCCACCCAUUCUCAG